AGCGACGCCUCAGCCCGCGGCGCGGCGGUGCCGGAGCAGGCGGUGCUGACCGGUUCCCCCGCCGCACCGAGGUCGGGGGCGGGCGAGCGUUAUCUGCUCACCCCGGACGGGUCGGCGAGGAGCUCGGGGUUUCCUUCUCUCCCUCUUGUAAAUCUCUACUCAGUCCUGCGGAGAACCUGGCCAGUCGUCCAAGGAGAACCCGACGAAGCUUCCCUCGAGGGACAGCAGGUCUAGGAAGGAUCUUGUGCUUUUGGAAAAGCCGAAAAACACUAGUGUUAAAAUCAACUGAAACCUGAUGGUUGGGGAAGUCGUUUGCUUGGAGCAGAGAAGCACAUCUGCCAGCUUCUUGACCAGGCUUCUCAAACCCGCAUCGGAGGAACCUAAUUCCUGAGCCGCUGAGAAGUUCCGUGGUGCAACUUUGCUUGCUUUUUCGCAUCACUCAUGGCUAGCUUAGCAUUCAGCUUUCUUAGGUCUACAAAUGAGUUGUCGCUCGUAACUGCUUUCAGCUUCUAAACCUUUCCUGCUGUUGUUUUGGCUCCUAUCAUCCUUGUCCUUCUGGGUUUAUGCCUUUGUAUAUAACAGUCUUUACUGUUUUAGUGGGAUUUUGUAGUUUUUUCUUCCAAAAUUUAAAAAUUCUAGUUAGUUAACAUAUAGUGUAUUAGUUUCAGGAGUAAGAUUUAGUGAUUCAUCACUUAGACCUAAAACCCAGUGCUCAUCGUAACAAGUGCUCUCCUUAAUACCCAUCACUCAUUUAGCUCACUUCCCACCUAAGUCCCUCCACCAACCUGGUUUGUUCUUUAAGAGUCUCUUAUGGUUUGCUUUCCUCUCUCUUUUUCUUCUUAGUGGGAUUUUUUAGAGAGACCUGAAGUUAUGGGUUUAAUCCUCCAUUUUUAUUUUUAUUUUUUUAAAAGGCUUUAUAUAUUUAUUCAUGAGAGACAGAGAGAGAGGCAGAGACAGAGGCAGAGUCAGAAGCAGGCUCCAUGCAGGGAGCCUGAUCCAGGACUCGAUCCUGGGACUCCAGGAUCAGUCCCUGAGCCGAAGUCAGAUGCUCAACUGCUGAGCCACCCAGGCAGGCAUCCCUAAUCCUCCAUUUUUAAUUGAUCUCUUCAAGAGCCUAUUAACUGGUUUUCUUCACACAGAAGCCAGUCUAUUAAAAACAUAGAUUAGAUCAUGUUACUCCCUUGCUGAAACUCUCAAAUGGUUUCCCAAUACACGUAGAAUAAAUUCCAAAUUCCUUGCCUUGGCCUGUAGCAUCUUAUAUGAUCUUGCCCCUGGCUACUUCUCAGGCCUUGUAUCUUACUGCAUGUCCAUCAGUUAGUUACUUUCUCCAGCCACACUGGCCUUCUUACUGUCCUUGGAUAUCAGAGCUGGUUUCUGUCUCUAACUUUUGCAUUUGCUGUUUGUUUUACUGGAACAUUCUUCCCCUGAGUCUUAUCUGCUAUGCUUCCUCACUUUCUUAUCUCUGACCAAAUGAUUAAGGGGUAAAUUUAUCAAAAGGAGAUAUAGCCAUUUAUAUAUAUACACACACACACACACACACACACACACACAGGUAUGUUUAUAUGUAUGUAUAUCUAUCGAAUACAAUGUUUCAAAAUGCAAAAGCAACGGUGAUAAAGGAAGAGACAAUCAUAGUUGGAGACCUUAAUACCUCUUACUGAUAGAAAACUAGAUAAAAAAUUAAGAACUGGGAUCCCUGGGUGGUGCAGUGGUUUGGCGCCUGCCUUUGGCCCAGGGCGCGAUCCUGGAGACCCGGGAUCAAAUCCCACAUCGGGCUCCUGGUGCAUGGAGCCUGCUUCUCCCUCUGCCUAUGUCUCUGCCUCUCUCUCUCUCUCUGUGACUAUCAUAAAUAAAUAAAAAAAAAAAUUAAAAAAAAAAAUUAAGAACUACCUUCAGGCUGUUGACAUGGUUGAAACUAAAAGGAUGAAUAAAGACACUGAAUGUUAAAUGAAUUGUUUUUUAAAAAUAUUUUAUUUAAGUUCAAUUUGCCAACAUAUAACACCCAGUACUCAUCCCAUCAAGUGCCCUUAGUACCCUACAACCCAGUUACCCCAUCCUCCUCCCAUUCCGCAACGCUUUGUUUCCCAGAGUUAGGAGUUUCUCAUGGUUUGUCUUCCUAAUAUUUCCCCACUGAGUUUCCCUCUUUUCCCUUUCACUAUUAAUGGAUCCAGUUUUAAGGGGCCUAUAUUAAUAACAAAGACAAUAAGACAAGGAAGAUUAUGAGAGAAAAUGGGUCAUUAUAAAAUGAUAAAAUAGUCUGUUCAUCUUGGAGAAAUGUACAUGCUCCUAAAAACAUCACUUUUGGCUAACAAUAAGCAAAAAGUGACAGGAGAAAGAAAAACCCAAAGCUGUAAUUGGAGAUUUUAACUAAUAGGAUAAAUAGACAAAAUGUAGAGGAUGCUGCUAAAAGCAGUAAACAGAGAAUUUAUAACCUUGAAAUACAUAUAUUAAUAACGAAUAAAGGCUGGAAAUUAUUCAUACAAUCCCAAUCAGAAAAGGAAAAAAAAAAACCCAUUAAAACAAAUGCAAAGCACAAGGUAGGAAAGAAGAAAAAGGUUUGAAUAUGGCAUAAGUAGUCUAAAACAAAGGAUAUCUCGGAGGAUGCCCUGGAUUUAAGAGGACUUUGAUCAGUUUGCCAAAUUUAGCCAUAUGGCUUUGGUGAUGAGCAUUACCCAAAAUUCAAAGAAGAUACACCAGUUCCUCACACUGAAACAUUUGCUUUGGAUGCCAAAAGAUUAUAUUUCCACUAAAGUUCAUUGGAAGUGUUUACGGCUAUUAAUUUUUUUGCUAAAUGGAGGGGAAAAGGUUAACUCAUUUAGUUUGCACUUUGUUGAUUACGAGUGAUACUGAACAUCUUUGAAUAUUUAGUAGCCAUUUUUCACUUUCAUAAUGUUCAUAUUCUUUGCUCAUUUUUUAAAAAAGAUUUUAUUUAUUCAUUCAUGAGAUACAGUGAGAGAGAGAGAGAG